AGGCGAUCCACUCCCACAAGUUAAACGCGGCUAUUAAUUUUUCAAUCAACUGUAUUUCAUUGAGGCUGUUUGCGAGUUAUAACAUUUAAUUAGCUAUUUACCAGUACUUUGUCACUGACUAGCCAAGUGUAUUUUUCACUCGCCGAUGAUUCGUGGUUCACGCUCGGAGGUGCGAUUAUUAGUAAGAGGUUUGGUGGCUGGCUACUUAGCUGUGUAAGCGCACGCUACAACUAAUCUUCUCAUUACCGCACAGGCUCGGACACCACCGCAAAGGCUCGGACACCAUCCAUCAUAUGGUCUAUGCAGGUCGCGCCUGGAAGCAAAGAGGGAUUUGUGCGCGAGGGCUUUUGCCAGCUCACAGAUCAUAGAGCUCAGAUGCGCACGCAGAUGUGCCCCAUUCAAUAGCCAUGAUAUCGGCCACGGAACAAUGGCGGGGUCACGCGGGAUCUCCUAGCUUCCUGUUGGCCUUUGAAAAACAAACUGAAGAAAUGGAAAAACCUUGAGAGACUCCGAGGAUGAGGAUAAAGUAGUUUCGGAAUGACCAUGCGCCCCAAGUAGGCUGUAUGUAGGCUGGAAGACUUCACCUGUUGUCUUGAAGACUGGCCAUGUCGACUCGAGGGAAACCUGUGCCCUCAGAAUCAACACUGAAUUUUUACAUCUGCCUUUAUUAAAUAUCGGUGUGGAAUCUCUUGCAUUCGAAUAAACAGUGUACGCUUAUUGCA